GAUGAACGCUGGCGGCGUGCCUAAUACAUGCAAGUCGAGCGAACGGACGCGAAGUUUGCUUUUCUGAUGUUAGCGGAGGACGGGUGAGUAACACGUGGAUAACCUACCUAUAAGACUGGGAUAACUUCGGGAAACCGGAGCUUAUACCGGAGAAUAUUUUGCACCGCAUGGUUCAAAGGUGAAAGACGGUCUUGCUGUAACUUCUAGAUGGUUCCGCGCUGCAUUAGCUAGUUGGUAAGGUAAAGGCUUACCAAGGGUACGAUGCAUAGCCGACCUGAGAGAGUGAUCGGCCACACUGGAGCUGAGACGCCGACCAGAGUCCUACGAGAGGCAGCAGUAGGGAAUCUUCCGCAAUGGGCGAAAGCCUGACGGAGCAACGCCGCGUGAGUGAUGAAGGUCUUCGGAGCGUAAAACUCUGUUAUUAGGGAAGAACAGAUGUGUAAGUAACUGUGCACAUCUUGACGGUACCUAAUCAGAAAGCCACGGCUAACUACGUG
rnacentral:rRNA from 1 species